AAGAAAAAACUUGGGCUAUAACUCAGAGCAAAAGCCCUGAGUUUGCCAAAAUAAAGGCUCAGUAGUGCCAAAAUAAAUAAAUAAUAGAAAUGUAAAAAAUCUUAAAAGGGCCUAUUGAUGUGGCCCCCCUGAAGGUCCUUAGUUCAAUCCCUAGUAUCACAAACAAAGCAAAGCAAAACAAAACACAGCCACAGGAAACCACGUGGCUAAGGCCCACGCCCUGGUGCAGGCAGCGCGCAGCCACCCUGUGUCCACACCGCAAAGGCCGACAGCACCGGAGACCUGCCCAGCGUGCCCACUCGGACCCCAGAAGCCCUGGCCCGGUGCUCCUGGCCGCACUGUGGGUACCCAGAGCGGGAAGAGGCCCCUCACUGCAGCCCAGUUUAGAAGGGGAGAGUGCUGUGAACUGAACCCAGGGCUUCCAGCAUGCUAGAGGAGCACCUAUCAGUGAGCCCCAACCAGCCCUGUUGCAGGGAUUUUGACUAAAGCGUUCAGUCUUGUAACCACCACACGACUCAGACAGACACCAUUCCCUCGCCAUGUGAAGUUCCCUUGGGUUCUCUGCAGUGGAUUCUACCGCUCACAUGGACCUCAGACAGCUAGUUACCUGAUACUGUCAUUGGGUGUAUUCUGCAAGCUCUAAAGCUUCAUGCAGUUAAAUCCACCCAGGAUCAAUUCUUUUGUAUCUGACUUCUUUGGCUCUCAUCAUUGUGCUCUGAGAACCACCUGCAAGGUUAUCUCCAAUGUGUGCACCUACAAAAGAGUUUGGAGUUUUUUUAUUUACUUGGUGAAAACUCAGACUGCUGGAUUUUUCUUCUAAGUUUUGGCUUUUGUGAAUAAAGCUUUGGUGAACAGUUG